UGGGGAAUAUUGGACAAUGGGCGAAAGCCUGAUCCAGCAAUACCGCGUGUGUGAAGAAGGCCUUAGGGUUGUAAAGCACUUUCAAUGGGGAGGAAAAAGAGUAAGUUAAUACCUUGCUUAUUGACAUUACCUAUAGAAGAAGCACCGGCUAACUCCGUGCCAGCAGCCGCGGUAAUACGAGUGGUGCUAGCGUUAUUCGGAAUCACUGGGCGUAAAGGGUGUGUAGGCGACAUUUCAAGUCCACUGUUAAAGAUCCCAGCUUAACUGGGAAAGUGCAGUGGAAACUGAUUCGUUAGAGGAUGGAAGAGAGAAGUGGAAUUCUCGGAGUAGCGGUAAAAUGCGUAGAUAUCGAGAGGAACACCGAUGGCGAAGGCAGCUUCUUAGUCCAUUCCUGACGCUGAUACACGAAAGCGUGGGGAGCAAACAGG
rnacentral:rRNA from 1 species